rnacentral:rRNA from 1 species
UAGGGAAUCUUCGGCAAUGGGGGGAACCCUGACCGAGCAACGCCGCGUGAGUGAAGAAGGUUUUCGGAUCGUAAAGCUCUGUUGUUAAGGAAGAACGAGUGUGAGAAUGGAAAGUUCAUGCUGUGACGGUACUUAACCAGAAAGGGACGGCUAACUACGUGCCAGCAGCCGCGGUAAUACGUAGGUCCCGAGCGUUGUCCGGAUUUAUUGGGCGUAAAGCGAGCGCAGGCGGUUCGAAAAGUCUGAAGUGAAAGGCAGUGGCUCAGCCAUUGUAGGGUUGGGAGACUGUUUAACGUGAGUGCAGAAGGGGAGGGUGGAAUUCCGUGUGUAGCGGUGAAAAGCAUAGAUAUAUAGAGGAAGAACGGUGGCGAAAGGGGAGCACUGGACUGUAAAUGACGAUGAGGCUCAAAAGCGUGGGGAGCGAACAGG